AACGAACGCUGGCGGUAUGCUUAACACAUGCAAGUCGAACGCGAAAACCUCUUCGGAGGUCGGUAGAGUGGCGCACGGGUGAGUAACGCGUAGAUAACCUACCCCAAAGUUUGGGACAACCUUUCGAAAGGAGGGCUAAUACCGGAUAAUACAAACAAUCAACUGAUUGCUUGUUAAAAGAUUUAUCGCUUUGGAAUGGGUCUGCGUAACAUUAGCUAGUUGGUAAGGUAAGGGCUUACCAAGGCUACGAUGUUUAGCGGGUCUGAGAGGAUGAUCCGCCACACUGGAACUGAGACACGGUCCAG
rnacentral:rRNA from 1 species